GGGAUUCUACAAAUGAUCAAACUUAGCAAAAAAAAAUCAAACUUUAAGCUCUGAAACACAAUCAAGAACUCAAAUCCAAGCCCCAGAACAAAAAUUCAACAAAUGCUUAAUCCAUUACUAAAACAAAAUAUCAGAUGGAAGGCUAAAGACAAACUUUUUCUAUCAAAAGAGCAAAAAAGCAAACAGCUUUCAGCAGUUUAAUCAUAAAAAAACAACCCCUUUUCAAGAAAAGCUUCAAAAAUUAAAACCCCACCAUCUCCUAGCACUAAAAUUCAACUAAAAAUCCCAGAAAACAUCAAACAGUUCAAAAGGGUCUAACAAUAUGAUAAAUCCACAAAAUUUAAAUCAAGUUUUUCAUCUCAAACUCGUGAUUGAUGAGGGCAAAAUUGGAAUUAAAACACCAAAAACCAUUUCUCC
rnacentral:misc_RNA from 1 species